CAACCUAACAGGAGUGCCCAGAAGUGCAAGGUGUUCAGUGCUCAGAGACACUGCCAAAGUAAGAAAGGCUGAAAACCGACUACCACUGAACAAGACACAAGUUGAAACGCCAAGACAGGGCCAAGAAAUAUCUUGACACUGAUUUUUCUGAGGUUUUAG